rnacentral:rRNA from 1 species
UACGGGAGGCAGCAGUGAGGAAUAUUGGUCAAUGGACGCAAGUCUGAACCAGCCAUGCCGCGUGCAGGAAGACGGCUCUAUGAGUUGUAAACUGCUUUUGUACGAGGGUAAACUCACCUACGUGUAGGUGACUGAAAGUAUCGUACGAAUAAGGAUCGGCUAACUCCGUGCCAGCAGCCGCGGUAAUACGGAGGAUUCAAGCGUUAUCCGGAUUUAUUGGGUUUAAAGGGUGCGUAGGCGGUUUGAUAAGUUAGAGGUGAAAUCCCGGGGCUNAACUCCGGAACUGCCUCUAAUACUGUUAGACUAGAGAGUAGUUGCGGUAGGCGGAAUGUAUGGUGUAGCGGUGAAAUGCUUAGAGAUCAUACAGAACACCGAUUGCGAAGGCAGCUUACCAAACUAUAUCUGACGUUGAGGCACGAAAGCGUGGGGAGCAAACAGGAUUAGAUACCCUGGUAGUCCACGCAGUAAACGAUGAUAACUCGUUGUCGGCGAUACACAGUCGGUGACUAAGCGAAAGCGAUAAGUUAUCCACCUGGGGAGUACGUUCGCAAGAAUGAAACUCAAAGGAAUUGACGG